AUACCAUGAUAAAGGCAUCUCCUGAGUAACUCUUUGAAUCUUUCUCACGUAUCAUACAAGCUUUCAUCUUCAAGUUGAUGGAAUAAUGUGAUCUCAUUCCUUAACUU
rfam:Citrus clementina cultivar Clemenules unplaced genomic scaffold scaffold_1, whole genome shotgun sequence.